rnacentral:rRNA from 1 species
CGCCCGUCGUUAUUUCAGAUGGUCAUAGGGAUGAAGAGCUUCGGCUCUGAAUAUCUAUGGCUAGAUAAAGUACAAGUCGUAACAAGGUUUCAGUUGGAGAACCAGCUGAAGGAUCAUUUUCAGUUUUUCAUGGGUUUAUAUCGGAAUGUCGAGUGGGUGGGUGUGAGGAUGGAUGGUGU